AUGCAGGAUAAUAGUAUAGUCUGAAAGGGGCUUUUUCACCCAUGACAGAACCCAGAAAGCAAAAGGGAAUACAGGGAACAAGCACCUGAGAACUAUACAACCAUAAACAAGUAAUAUUUGCAUCUCUCUCCCAUCUCAAAGGAAUAUUUCCUACUUAUAUUUUUGUUAUACACAAAUUUAAGAAACACAAAGAAGAAUUGAAGUAUCACCAAG
rnacentral:misc_RNA from 1 species